UACGGGGGGGGUAAGCGUUGUUCGGAAUUACUGGGCGUAAAGGGCUCGUAGGCGGCCAACUAAGUCAUACGUGAAAUCCCUCAGCUUAACUGGGGAACUGCGUGUGAUACUGGAUGGCUUGGAUUUGGGAGAGGGAUGCGGAAUUCCAGGUGUAGCGGUGAAAUGCGUAGAUAUCAGGAGGAACACCGGUGGUGUAGACGGCUUACUGGACCACGACUGACACUGAGGCACGAAAGCGUGGGUAGCAAACAGG
rnacentral:rRNA from 1 species